UGAACGCUGGCGGCAGGCCUAACACAUGCAAGUCGAGCGGCAGCGACAACAGUUGACUUCGGGYGAUUUGUUGGGCGGCGAGCGGCGGACGGGUGAGUAAUGCUUGGGAACAUGCCUUAGUGUGGGGGAUAACCAUUGGAAACGAUGGCUAAUACCGCAUAAUGUCUUCGGACCAAAGCGGGGGACUUCGGGCCUCGCGCGCUAAGAUUGGCCCAGGUGGGAUUAGCUAGUAGGUGGGGUAACGGCUCACCUAGGCGACGAUCCCUAGCUGGUCUGAGAGGAUGAUCAGCCACACUGGAACUGAGACACGGUCCAGACUCUACGGGAGGCAGCAGUGGGGAAUAUUGCACAAUGGGGGACACCCUGAUGCAGCCAUGCCGCGUGUGUGAAGAAGGCUUCGGGUUGUAAAGCACUUUCAGCAGUGAGGAAGGGAUGUGUGUUAAUAGCRCGCAUUCUUGACGUUAGCUGCAGAAGAAGCACCGGCUAACUCCGUGCCAGCAGCCGCGGUAAUACGGAGGGUGCGAGCGUUAAUCGGAAUUACUGGGCGUAAAGCGCAUGCAGGCGGCGUGUUAAGACCAGAUGUGAAAGCC
rnacentral:rRNA from 1 species